GGGUUGUGAGGUUAAGCGACUAAGCGUACACGGUGGAUGCCCUGGCAGUCAGAGGCGAUGAAGGGCGUGCUAAUCUGCGAUAAGCGCCGGUAAGGUGAUAUGAACCGUUAUAACCGGCGAUACCCGAAUGGGGAAACCCAGUGUGAUUCGUCACACUAUCAUUAACUGAAUCCAUAGGUUAAUGAGGCGAACCGGGGGAACUGAAACAUCUAAGUACCCCGAGGAAAAGAAAUCAACCGAGAUUCCCCCAGUAGCGGCGAGCGAACGGGGAGGAGCCCAGAGCCUGAAUCAGCAUGUGUGUUAGUGGAAGCGUCUGGAAAGGCGCGCGAUACAGGGUGACAGCCCCGUACACAAAAGCGCAUGUGCUGUGAGCUCGAUGAGUAGGGCGGGACACGUGGUAUCCUGUCUGAAUAUGGGGGGACCAUCCUCCAAGGCUAAAUACUCCUGACUGACCGAUAGUGAACCAGUACCGUGAGGGAAAGGCGAAAAGAACCCCGGCGAGGGGAGUGAAAAAGAACCUGAAACCGUGUACGUACAAGCAGUGGGAGCACAGGUUUACCUGUGUGACUGCGUACCUUUUGUAUAAUGGGUCAGCGACUUAUAUUCUGUAGCAAGGUUAACCGAAUAGGGGAGCCGGAGGGAAACCGAGUCUUAAUUGGGCGUUAAGUUGCAGGGUAUAGACCCGAAACCCGGUGAUCUAGCCAUGGGCAGGUUGAAGGUUGGGUAACACUAACUGGAGGACCGAACCGACUAAUGUUGAAAAAUUAGCGGAUGACCUGUGGCUGGGGGUGAAAGGCCAAUCAAACCGGGAGAUAGCUGGUUCUCCCCGAAAGCUAUUUAGGUAGCGCCUCGUGAAUUCAUCUCCGGGGGUAGAGCACUGUUUCGGCUAGGGGGCCAUCCCGGCUUACCAACCCGAUGCAAACUGCGAAUACCGGAGAAUGUUAUCACGGGAGACACACGGCGGGUGCUAACGUCCGUCGUGAAGAGGGAAACAACCCAGACCGCCAGCUAAGGUCCCAAAGUCAUGGUUAAGUGGGAAACGAUGUGGGAAGGCCCAGACAGCCAGGAUGUUGGCUUAGAAGCAGCCAUCAUUUAAAGAAAGCGUAAUAGCUCACUGGUCGAGUCGGCCUGCGCGGAAGAUGUAACGGGGCUAAACCAUGCACCGAAGCUGCGGCAGCGACACUGUGUGUUGUUGGGUAGGGGAGCGUUCUGUAAGCCUGUGAAGGUGGCCUGUGAGGGUUGCUGGAGGUAUCAGAAGUGCGAAUGCUGACAUAAGUAACGAUAAAGCGGGUGAAAAGCCCGCUCGCCGGAAGACCAAGGGUUCCUGUCCAACGUUAAUCGGGGCAGGGUGAGUCGACCCCUAAGGCGAGGCCGAAAGGCGUAGUCGAUGGGAAACGGGUUAAUAUUCCCGUACUUGGUGUUACUGCGAAGGGGGGACGGAGAAGGCUAUGUUGGCCGGGCGACGGUUGUCCCGGUUUAAGCGUGUAGGUGUGUGUUCCAGGUAAAUCCGGUUCACUUUAACACUGAGGCGUGACGACGAGGCACUACGGUGCUGAAGCAACAAAUGCCCUGCUUCCAGGAAAAGCCUCUAAGCAUCAGGUAACAUCAAAUCGUACCCCAAACCGACACAGGUGGUCAGGUAGAGAAUACCAAGGCGCUUGAGAGAACUCGGGUGAAGGAACUAGGCAAAAUGGUGCCGUAACUUCGGGAGAAGGCACGCUGACACGUAGGUGAAGUGAUUUACUCAUGGAGCUGAAGUCAGUCGAAGAUACCAGCUGGCUGCAACUGUUUAUUAAAAACACAGCACUGUGCAAACACGAAAGUGGACGUAUACGGUGUGACGCCUGCCCGGUGCCGGAAGGUUAAUUGAUGGGGUCAGCGCAAGCGAAGCUCCUGAUCGAAGCCCCGGUAAACGGCGGCCGUAACUAUAACGGUCCUAAGGUAGCGAAAUUCCUUGUCGGGUAAGUUCCGACCUGCACGAAUGGCGUAAUGAUGGCCAGGCUGUCUCCACCCGAGACUCAGUGAAAUUGAACUCGCUGUGAAGAUGCAGUGUACCCGCGGCAAGACGGAAAGACCCCGUGAACCUUUACUAUAGCUUGACACUGAACAUUGAGCCUUGAUGUGUAGGAUAGGUGGGAGGCUUUGAAGCGUGGACGCCAGUCUGCGUGGAGCCGACCUUGAAAUACCACCCUUUAAUGUUUGAUGUUCUAACGUGGACCCGUGAUCCGGGUUGCGGACAGUGUCUGGUGGGUAGUUUGACUGGGGCGGUCUCCUCCUAAAGAGUAACGGAGGAGCACGAAGGUUGGCUAAUCCUGGUCGGACAUCAGGAGGUUAGUGCAAUGGCAUAAGCCAGCUUGACUGCGAGCGUGACGGCGCGAGCAGGUGCGAAAGCAGGUCAUAGUGAUCCGGUGGUUCUGAAUGGAAGGGCCAUCGCUCAACGGAUAAAAGGUACUCCGGGGAUAACAGGCUGAUACCGCCCAAGAGUUCAUAUCGACGGCGGUGUUUGGCACCUCGAUGUCGGCUCAUCACAUCCUGGGGCUGAAGUAGGUCCCAAGGGUAUGGCUGUUCGCCAUUUAAAGUGGUACGCGAGCUGGGUUUAGAACGUCGUGAGACAGUUCGGUCCCUAUCUGCCGUGGGCGCUGGAGAACUGAGGGGGGCUGCUCCUAGUACGAGAGGACCGGAGUGGACGCAUCACUGGUGUUCGGGUUGUCAUGCCAAUGGCACUGCCCGGUAGCUAAAUGCGGAAGAGAUAAGUGCUGAAAGCAUCUAAGCACGAAACUUGCCCCGAGAUGAGUUCUCCCUGAGACUUAGAGUCUCCUGAAGGAACGUUGAAGACGACGACGUUGAUAGGCCGGGUGUGUAAGCGCAGCGAUGCGUUGAGCUAACCGGUACUAAUGAACCGUGAGGCUUAACCUUACAACGCCGAAG
rnacentral:rRNA from 1 species